rnacentral:tRNA from 1 species
GCCUUCGUGGUGUAAUGGUAGCACACUCGGCGUGUAUUCGAGAGGUCCAGGUUCGAGUCUCGGAGAGGGCA